AUUGAACGCUGGCGGCAUGCCUUACACAUGCAAGUCGAACGGUAACAGGUCUUCAGAUGCUGACGAGUGGCGAACGGGUGAGUAAUACAUCGGAACGUGCCUAGUAGUGGGUGAUAACUACUCGAAAGAGUGGCUAAUACCGCAUGAGAUCUACGGAUGAAAGCAGGGGAUCGCAAGACCUUGUGCUACUAGAGCGGCCGAUGGCAGAUGAGGUAGUUGGUGGGAUGAAAGCUUACCAAGCCGACGAUCUGUAGCUGGUCUGAGAGGACGAUCAGCCACACUGGGACUGAGACACGGCCCAGACUCCUACGGGAGGCAGCAGUGGGGAAUUUUGGACAAUGGGCGCAAGCCUGAUCCAGCAAUGCCGCGUGCAGGAUGAAGGCCUUCGGGUUGUAAACUGCCUUUGUACGGAACGAAAAGCCCUGGGUUAAUACCCUGGGGUCAUGACGGUACCGUAAGAAUAAGCACCGGCUAACUACGUGCCAGCCGCCGCCGUAACAC
rnacentral:rRNA from 1 species